GAAAAGGCAAACCCGUCGAAAGAUGGGGGCGCAAAGCCACGGGUCUACAGCCUCAGCAGGGUGAGGCCAGGACAGCCGGGUUGCCGAA
rnacentral:ncRNA from 1 species